GCUAUAGGACAUGGGGUCUGUCCCUCCCAUGCAGGUGACACAGUGACACAUUCAGAAGGGAGGUAUAGGAUAUGGGGUCUGUCUCUCCCCUGCAGGUGACACAGACAGGAGGGAGCUAUAGGACAUGGGGUCUGUCCCUCCCAUGCAGGUGACACAGACAGGAGGGAGCUAUAGGAAAUGGGGUCUGUCCCUCCCCUGCAGGUGACACAGUGACACAGACAGGAGGGAGCUAUAGGACAUGGGGUCUGUCCCUCCCAUGCAGGUGACACAGACAGGAGGGAGCUAUAGGAAAUGGGGUCUGUCCCUCCCCUCAGGUGACACAGUGACACAGACAGGAGGGAGGUAUAGGAUAUGGGGUCUGUCUCUCCCCUGCAGGUGACACAGACAGGAGGGAGCUAUAGGACAUGGGGUCUGUCCCUCCCCUGCAGGUGACACAGACAGGAGGGAGCUAUAGGACAUGGGUCUGUCCCUUUACUGCAGGUGACACAGUGACACAGACAGGAGGGAGCUAUAGGACAUGGGGUCUGUCCCUCCCCUGCAGGUGACACAGUGACACAGACAGGAGGGAGCUAUAGGACAUGGGGUCUGUCCCUCCCCUGCAGGUGACACAGUCAGGAGGGAGCUAUAGGACAUGGGGUCUGUCCCUCCUCUGCAGGUGACACAGUCAGGAGGGAGCUAUAGGACAUUGGGUCUGUCCCUCCCCUGCAGGUGACACAGACAGAAGGGAGCUAUAGGACAUGGGGUCUGUCCCUCUACUGCAGGUGACACAGACAGAAGGGAGCUAUAGGACAUGGGGUCUGUCCCUCUACUGCAGGUGACACAGACAGGAGAGAGCUAUAGGACAUGGGGGCUGUCCCUCUACUGCAGGUGACACAUUGACAAAAACAUGAGGGAGCUAUAGGAUAUGGGGUCUGUCCUUCCCCUGCAGGUGACACAGACAGAAGGGAGCUAUAGGACACGGGGUCUGUCCUUCCCCUGCAGGUGACACAGACAGGAGGGAGCUAUAGGACAUGGGGUCUGUCCCUCCCCUGCAGGUGACACGGUGACACAGACAGGAGGGAGCUAAAGGACAUGGGGUCUGUCCCUCCCCUGCAGGUGACACAGUAACACAGACAGGAGGGAGCAAUAGGACAUGGGGUCUGUCCCUCUACUGCAGGUGACACAGACAGGAGGGAGCUAUAGGACAUGGGGUCUGUCCCUCCCCUGCAGGUGACACAGUAACACAGACAGGAGGUAGCUAUAGGACAUGAUGUCUGUCCCUCCCCUGCAGGUCACACAGACAGGAGGGAGCUAUAGGACAUGAUGUCUGUCCCUCCCCUGCAUGUGACACAGACAGAAGGGAGCUAUAGGAUAUGGGGUCUGUCCCUCCCCUGCAGGUGACACAGACAGGAGGGAGCUAUAGGAUAUGGGGUCUGCCCCUCCCCUGCAGGUGACACAGACAGGAGGGAGCUAUAGGCUAUGGGGUCUGUCCCUCCCCUGCAGGUGACAGUGACACAGACAGGAGGGAGCUAUAGGACAUGGGGUCUGUCCCUCCCCUGCAGGUGACACAGUGACAUAGACAGGAGGGAGCUAUAGGACAUGGGGUCUGUCCCUCCCCUGCAGGUGACACAGUGACACAGACAGGAGGGAGCUAUAGGACAUGGGGUUUGUCCCUCCCCUGCAGGUUACACAGUGACACAGACAGGAGGGAGCUAUAGGACAUGGGGUCUGUCCCUCCCCUGCAGGUGACACAGUGACACAGACAGGAGGGAGCUAUAGGACAUGGGGUUUGUCCCUCCCCUGCAGGUUACACAGACAGGAGGGAGCUAUAGGUCAUGGGGUCUGUCCCUCCCCUGCAGGUGACACAGACAGGAGGGAGCUAUUUGACAUGGGGUCUGUCCGUCCCCUGCAGGUUACACAGACAGGAGGGAGCUAUAGGACAUGGGGUCUAUCCCUCCCCUGCAGGUGACAAAGACAGGAGGGAGCUAUAGGACAUGGGGUCUGUCCCUCCCCUGCAGGUGACACAGACAGAAGGGAGCUAUAGGAUAUGGGGUCUGUCCCUCCCCUGCAGGUGACACAGACAGGAGGGAGCUAUAGGCUAUGGGGUCUGUCCCUCCCCUGCAGGUGACAGUGACACAGACAGGAGGGAGCUAUAGGACAUGGGGUCUGUCCCUCCCCUGCAGGUUACACAGUGACAUAGACAGGAGGGAGCUAUAGGACAUGGGGUCUGUCCCUCCCCUGCAGGUGACACAGUGACACAGACAGGAGGGAGCUAUAGGACAUGGGAUUUGUCCCUCCCCUGCAGGUGACACAGUGACACAGACAGGAGGGAGCUAUAGGACAUGGGGUCUGUUCCUCCCCUGCAGGUUACACAGACAGGAGGGAUCUAUAGGACAUGGGGUCUGUCCCUCCCCUGCAGGUGACAGUGACACAGACAGAAGGGAGCUAUAGGACAUGGGGUCUGUCCCUCUACUGCAGGUGACACAGACAGGAGGGAGCUAUAGGACAUGAGGUCUGUCCCUCCCCUGCAGGUGACAGUGACACAGACAGAAGGGAGCUAUAGGACAUGGGGUCUGUCCAUCUACUGCAGGUGACAGUGACACAGACAGGAGCGAGCUAUAUAGGACAUGGGAUCUGUCCCUUCCCUGCAGGUGACACAGUGACACAUUCAGAAGGGAGCUAUAGGACAUGGGGUCUGUCCCUCCCCUGCAGGUGACACAUACAGAAGGGAGCUAUAGGACAUGGCGUCUGUCCCUCCCCUGCAGGUGACACAGUGACACAGACAGAAGGGAGCUAUAGGACAUGGGGUUUGUCCCUCCCCUGAAGGUGACACAGUGACACAGACAGGAGGGAGCUAUAGGACAUGGGGUCUGUCCCUCCCAUGCAGGUGACACAGACAGGAGGGAGCUAUAGGAAAUGGGGUCUGUCCCUCCCCUGCAGGUGACACAGUGACUCAGACAGGAGGGAGCUAUAGGACAUGGGGUCUGUCCCUCCCAUGCAGGUGACACAGACAGGAGGGAGCUAUAGGAAAUGGGGUCUGUCCCUCCCCUGCAGGUGACACAGUGACACAGACAGGAGGGAGCUAUAGGACAUGGGGUCUGUCCCUCCCCUGCAGGUGACACAGACAAGAGGGAGCUAUAGGACAUGAGGUCUGUCCCUCCCCUGCAGGUGACACAGUGACAAAGACAGGAGGGAGCUAUAGGACAUGGGGUCUGUCCCUCCCCUGCAGGUGACACAGACAGGAGGGAGCUAUAGGACAUGAUGUCUGUCCCUCCCCUGCAGGUGACACAGACAGAAGGGAGCUAUAGGAUAUGGGGUCUGUCCCUCCCCUGCAGGUGACACAGACAGGAGGGAGCUAUAGGAUAUGGGGUCUGCCCCUCCCCUGCAGGUGACACAGACAGGAGGGAGCUAUAGGCUAUGGGGUCUGUCCCUCCCCUGCAGGUGACAGUGACACAGACAGGAGGGAGCUAUAGGACAUGGGGUCUGUCCCUCCCCUGCAGGUGACACAGUGACACAGACAGGAGGGAGCUAUUUGACAUGGGGUCUGUCCGUCCCCUGCAGGUUACACAGACAGGAGGGAGCUAUAGGACAUGGGGUCUGCCCCUCCCCUGCAGGUGACACAGUGACAUAGACAGGAGGGAGCUAUAGGACAUGGGGUCUGUCCCUCCCCUGCAGGUGACACAGUGACACAGACAGGAGAGAGCUAUAGGACAUGGGGUCUGUCCCUCCUCUGCAGGUAUCACAGUGACACAGACAAAA